rnacentral:misc_RNA from 1 species
UUUCCGUAGGUGAACCUGCGGAAGGAUCAUUAUUGUAUAACCGAGGUGCGAGGGCUGUCGCUGACCCGAAAGGUCGUGCACGCCCGAGUGCCCUCACACACAUCCCUCUCACCCCUAUGUGCACCACCGCGUGGGUCCCCCUUUGGCUUGUUCGGAGGGGGGCUUACGUUUUCACACAAACUUUGUAUGCAUCGUAGAAUGUAUUUUUUGUUUUUGCGAUCACGCAAUCAAUACAACUUUCAACAACGGAUCUCUUGGCUCUC